rnacentral:rRNA from 1 species
UGAGGAAUAUUGGUCAAUGGUCGCAAGACUGAACCAGCCAUGCCGCGUGCAGGAAGACGGUCCUAUGGAUUGUAAACUGCUUUUAUACAGGAAGAAACCCUCCCACGUGUGGAGCUUGACGGUACUGUAGGAAUAAGGAUCGGCUAACUCCGUGCCAGCAGCCGCGGUAAUACGGAGGAUCCAGCGUUAUCCGGAAUCAUUGGGUUUAAAGGGUCCGUAGGCGGUCUUAUAAGUCAGUGGUGAAAGCCCAUCGCUCAACGAUGGAACUGCCAUUGAUACUGUAAGACUUGAAUGCUUAGGAAGUAACUAGAAUAUGUAGUGUAGCGGUGAAAUGCUUAGAUAUUACAUGGAAUACCAAUUGCGAAGGCAGGUUACUACUAAGUGAUUGACGCUGAUGGACGAAAGCGUGGGGAGCGAACAGGAUUAGAUACCCUGGUAGUCCACGCCGUAAAACGAUGGAUACUAGCUGUUCGNNCAGUUGAGUGGCUAAGCGAAAGUGAUAAGUAUCCCACCUGGGGAGUACGCACGCAAGUGUGAAACUUAAAGGAAUUGACGGGGUCAUAGCUGUUUCCUG